CAAAUCCUGCAGUCCAUCCAUUUGUGCUGUCUCAUAGAUCCAUACAUCUUUGGGAAUACUUCAUUUCCCCGGAGGGCUCUGGCUUUACAAUUGACAGCAUCGGAACAAUUUCCACAGCAGCAGUUUUUGAUUUUGAAAGUGAAUCUAGAAGUUUUUCAAUGGUUAUUAAAGUGUUGACUCUGGAGGACUGUUUACAGCUGGAAAUCUAAAGAUUUUUCUCAUCAAUGUACACAAUAAGGACCCCAUUCUUAUCUACAGAAAGUUGACAUCACACUGGAUGAAGAAAUUCCAAUUGGGAAAAUGAUUGGAGUAUGCCAGGCAACAGAUGAAGAUAACCUGGGGGAUUUAACCUUUCAACUAGAUCCACGGAAUGAUUACUUUGCAGUUGACAAAGAGCGUGGAACUGUGUUUACUGCUACACGUCUUGACGUGGAGAGAGCUGGAUUUGCAAGUGUCCAGUCCUUCUCCAUUAAGGCUUGUGACUGUGACUGGCAGUGUGCAGCAAUUCUAGUAACUGCCUAUACCCAUGGCAUUAAUGACAAUUCACCUUUCUGUGAUCAAUACCUCAUUAGUUGCAAAACUCUUGUGUCGUGACCUUGAUGAGCCUCCUGAUGCAAUCCAUUAUGCUCCUAGCUCAGGCCCAGUUGGUUCUGGACAACUCUUUGAGCAAGUGCCAAAUGCUGAAAAUGUCAUCCAGGUUGCUAAAGAGUUGGACUAUGAAGACCCAGAGAUAAUUGCAGCUGGACAUACCUACGAAAUAAUGAUUUUAGUAUUUGAUGACCUACUUCCUUCCCAUACAGCAACUGUGACCAUCAUUGUGAAGGUUGCUCCUGCCAGUGACUUCAGCCCUGUAUUUAAAGCUGCACACUAUUCAUUCUCUGUUCCGGAAACGUUGGGAGAUCACUGGUGACAUUGAAAAUGAGAAUGAUGAAGCACCUGUCUGCACACCCUCUCUAUAUAAGACAGUCAUUUUUGACAAUGCUGUUCUUGGGACAAAUGUCAAUGGCUUCACCCUGAACUGCCACGACAGAGAGUCACAAUAUUUUGAAAUGCGUUUUGAGAUGGUUUCUGGAAAUGAGAACCAUCAUUUUGGAUAUGACCCAACUCGAGGUUCAAAUACUCCAAAAUUAAUUGUGAAGAAUCCUUUCAAUUUUCAAUCUAGAGCUGAAGUACAGCAGCAGUACCAUCUUGUUGUGCAUAUAAUUGAUGAUAACUUGAAAUAUGGCAAAUCCAUCAAGCCCAGGACGGGCACCGCUGUUAUAGAUAUUUAUGUCAGAAGAGCCAAUAUGCCACCUUCUCCAACCACUAGUUGUGAACAAAGAAAAGGUCUGAUCGUCGUGUACACAGCUAUAAACACGUACAAAUCCAAUGACUGGUACAUUCCUUUUAUCUUCACUCUGAUGGCUAUUUUCUUGCUGGGUUGAUUUCCUGGGUAUGUUUCCUGCUUUGGAAAUAUGGGAACAUUAUGGAAUGCUGUCAGAAAAUGACCAAGGAAGUCUCCAAGGCCAAACCCAAGCGAUGGAAAUCAAAAGGAAAAUACUGUCACAGGAAACAGAAAUAAAAAAUUAGAAGUAUUAACAGAAACCACUGUAUGUGAGACUGUUUGAUGCAGAAGCCAUUGAUCCACUCUCUGGGAACGUAUAUGAAUAUAAUAGCAGAACAGGUGCAAGAAAGUGGAAGAAGACCUCCAGGCACCAGAAGGAGCCCUUGGCAAACAUACAUUCCCUCCUAGAGGUCCAUCCUUUAGAGGAGUCCACAUCCUUAAGAAUUCAUUUGCAAGGAUAGCAUUUUUCCAGCGCCUGAAUGAUUGCUUUUUUGUGUAUAUGAUUGUCACAGGCAGUUUUUCUUGGCUACCUAAAAUUAUAGACAUGAGGCCAGCUGCUUUGUCUGUGUUUAUAGCUUUCUGUGGUCUUCCAUUUCAGGGUGUCUGUGUGAAGGCGGCAGGAGUGGUGAGCUUUGAAUCUCUGAACAUGUUUUGCUGAAAACGAGAUACUAAAUUGACAUAUGUUCAUUGUCUUACUUUGCCCAGUAGAGUGUAUGCUUUUUAAGAUCAGAGACUAUUUUGCUCACUGCUUUAGCCCCAGUACAUGUUUGGCAGAGAGUGGGGACUCUGUAUACAUUUGUGAAUAAAUAAAUUUGAAUAUAU
rnacentral:sRNA from 1 species